rnacentral:rRNA from 1 species
UGGUGGAGUGAUUUGUCUGCUUAAUUCCGUUAACGAACCUGCCAAAUAGAUUUGACGUCAGAUGGACAGCUUCUUAGAGGGACUAUGUGUUUUUUGACUCAUGGAAGUUUGAGGCAAUAACA